rnacentral:rRNA from 1 species
UAAGCAAGGCAUGAAAUCGUGUGGCUCAACCAUAUACACAUGUUUUGAACUGCUUGGCUAGAGAAUGGAAGAGGUCGCUAGAAUUCCUGGUGUAGGGGUGAAAUCCGUAGAUAUCAGGAGGAAUACCGAUGGCGUAGGCAGGCGACUGGUCCAUUUCUGACACUUAGGCACGAAAGCGUGGGGAGCGAUCGGGAUUAGAUACCCCGGUAGUCCACGCCGUAAACGAUGGAUGCUA